UGGGGUAUGAUUCAGUGGUAGAGCACUUGCCUAGCAUGCAUGAGGCCCUGGGUUCCAUCCCCCAGGACUUCAA
rnacentral:tRNA from 1 species